rnacentral:rRNA from 1 species
GGGGGGGGGCAAGCGUUGUUCGGAAUUACUGGGGCGUAAAGGGCGCGCAGGCGGCCUGGCAAGUCCUACGUGAAAUCCCACAGCUCAACUGUGGAACUGCGUGGGAUACUGCUAGGCUUGAGUCCGGGAGAGGAGAGUGGAAUUCCCAGUGUAGCGGUGAAAUGCGUAGAUAUUGGGAGGAACACCGGUGGCGAAGGCGGCUCUCUGGACCGGUACUGACGCUGAGGCGCGAAAGCUAGGGGAGCAAACGGGAUUAGAUACCCCGGUAGUCCUAGCCGUAAACUUUGAGCACUUGGUGUGGCGUGUAUCGACCCCUGCCGUGCCGAAGCUAACGCAUUAAGUGCUCCGCCUGGGGAGUACGGUCGCAAAGGCUG